rnacentral:miRNA from 1 species
UAUUAGGCUGGUGCAAAAGUACUUGUGGUUUUUGCAAUUACUUUUAAUGGCAAAAACCACAACUGUGUUUGCACCAACCUAAUAGAUCACAAGCAUGGCCACAAAU